AGAGGGUAUAGCUCAGUGGUAGAGUGCAUGCCUAGCAUGCAUGAGGUCCUGGGUUCAAUUCCCAGUACCUCUA
rnacentral:tRNA from 1 species